AAAAGAAACAAUUUUUAAAUUUAACAUCACUGAGGGCAUCCUAUCCAUUUCAUUUCAUGAUUCCAUUACAUCAUUUCACUUAGAUGAAAUGAUGACUUGAGAUGAAAUGAUGAGAUGAAAUGACGAAAUGAUGAGAUGAGAUGAUGAGAUGAAAUUUUGAGAUGAAAUGGUGAGUAGAAAUGAUGAGAUGAAAUGAUGAGACGAAAUGACAAAAUUGAAAAGAAAUUGAAAGGAGAGGAGAUGAGAUAAAAUGAGAUGAAAUGAGAUGAUGGAUGAAAUGAGAUGAAACGAGAUGAAAUGAAAUAAUGAAAUGAUAUGAAAUAAUGAAAUUGAAAUGAGAUGAUAUGAGAUGAAAUAAUGAGAUAAAAUGAUGAGAUGAGAUGAACGAUGAGAUGAAAUGAUGAAAUGAAAUGAGAUGAAAAAUGAUGAGAUGAAAAAUGAGAUGAAAUGAAAUAAUGAAAUGAGAUGAAAUGAAAUGAAAUAAUGAAAGGAAAUUAUGAGAUGAAAUGAUGAAAUGAAAUGAUGGAUGAAAUUAUGAGAUGAAAGAUGAAAUGUAAUGAGAUGAAAUGAAAUGACAUAAUGAAAUGAAAUAAUGAAAUGAGAUGAAAUAAAAUAAUGAAAUGAUGAAAUAAUGAAAUGAAAAUGAAAUGGAAAUGAUGAGAUGAGAAGAAAUGAUGAGAUGAAAUGAUGAAAUGAUGAGAUGAGAUAAAAUGAGAUGAAAUGAUGAGAUGAGAUGAAAUAUGAUGAGAUGAAAUGACAUAAUGAAUGAAAUGAUGAAAUGGAAUAAUGAAAUGGAAAUGAUGAGCUGAGAUGCAAUGAGUUGAAAUGAGAUGAAAUGAUGAAAUGAGAUGAAAUGAUGAGAUGAGAUGUGAUGAAAUGAUGACAUGAAAUGAUGACAUAAAAUGAGAUGAAAUGAGAUGUAAUGAUGGAAUGAGAUGAGAUGAAAUGAGAUGAAAUAGAUGAGAUAAAAUGAUGAUAUGAAAUGAUGAGAUGAAUGAUGAGAUGAGAUGAAUGAUGAAAUGAAAUGAUGAGAUGAGAUGAUGAAAUGAAAUGGUGAGAUGAAAUGAUGAGAUGAAAUGAAAUAGUGAAAUGAAAUUGAAAUAAAAUCGAAAUGAGAUGAAAUGAUGAGAUGAUGAAAUAAAAUGAUGAAAUGAUGAGAUGUGAUGAGAUGAAAUGAUGAGAUGAAAUGAUGAGAUGAGAUGACAUGAAAUAAUGAAAUGAAAUUGAAAUGAGAUAAGAUACGAGAUGAGAUGAAAUGAUGAGAUGAAAUGAUGAAAUGAUGAGAUAAGAUGAAAAGGGUUGAGAUGAUGAGAUGAAAUGAGAUGAAAAGAUGAAAUGAUGAGAUGAAAUGAAAUGAUGAGAUGAAAUGAGAUGAAAUGAGAUGAAAUGAAAUGAUGAGAUGAAAUGAGGUGAAAUGAAAUUAGAGGAAAUGUAAUGAGAUGAAAUGAAAUGACAUGAAAUGAAAUAAUGAAAUGAGAUGAAAUAAAAUAAUGAAAUGAUGAAAUAAUGAAAUGAAAAUGAAAUGGAAAUGAUGAGAUGAGAAGAAAUGAUGAGAUGAAAUGAUGAAAUGAUGAGAUGAGAUAAAAUGAGAUGAAAUGAUGAGAUGAGAUGAAAUAUGAGAUGAAAUGACAUAAUGAAUGAAAUGAUGAAAUGGAAUAAUGAAAUGGAAAUGAUGAGCUGAGAUGCAAUGAGUUGAAAUGAGAUGAAAUGAUGAAAUGAUGAGAUGAAAUGAUGAGAUGAGAUGUGAUGAAAUGACAUGAAAUGAUGACAUAAAAUGAGAUGAAAUGAGAUGUAAUGAUGGAAUGAGAUGAGAUGGAAUGAGAUGAGAUGAAAUGAGAUGAAAUGAUAGAUGAGAUAAAAUGAUAUGAAAUGAUGAGAUGAAUGAUGAGAUGAUGAGAUGAAUGAUGAAAUGAAAUGAUGAGAUGAGAUGAUGAAAUGAAAUGGUGAGAUGAAAUGAUGAGAUGAAAUGAAAUAGUGAAAUGAAAUUGAAAU
rnacentral:lncRNA from 1 species